CCUACGGGUGGCAGCAGUGAGGAAUAUUGGUCAAUGGACGCAAGUCUGAACCAGCCAUGCCGCGUGCAGGAAGACGGCUCUAUGAGUUGUAAACUGCUUUUGUACGAGGGUAAACGCAGAUACGCGUAUCUGUCUGAAAGUAUCGUACGAAUAAGGAUCGGCUAACUCCGUGCCAGCAGCCGCGGUAAUACGGAGGAUUCAAGCGUUAUCCGGAUUUAUUGGGUUUAAAGGGUGCGUAGGCGGUCGGAUAAGUUAGAGGUGAAAUCCCGGGGCUCAACUUCGGAAUUGCCUCUGAUACUGUUCGGCGAGAGAGUAGUUGCGGUAGGCGGAAUGUAUGGUGUAGCGGUGAAAUGCGUAGAGAUCAUACAGAACACCGAUUGCGAAGGCAGCUUACCAAGCUACUUCUGACGUUGAGGCACGAAAGCGUGGGGAGCAAACAGGAUUAGAUACCCGAGUAGUC
rnacentral:rRNA from 1 species